UGCAGAAUCCCGUGAACCAUCGAGUCUUUGAACGCAAGUUGCGCCCAAGGCCAUUAGGCCGAGGGCACGUCUGCCUGGGCGUCAUGC
rnacentral:rRNA from 1 species